rnacentral:lncRNA from 1 species
AUGAAGAACUCUCUGCUUGCAGCUAUCAUUUUAUUUGCAGCAGAUUCCUGCAACUGUUUAAGCUGGGAUUUUCCAUUUUGCAAGCAGCUUCCAGAUUGGGACAAUGAAUUGGCCUGUUACAAAGAACUAAGUGAGGAUCUAACCUGUACCUGGCUGCCAGCACCCAGUGCUCCAAAUAUUAUUAAUUACACCUUUUUCUUAAAAUGGUAAGUCUAAAAGUCACUUCAGAAAAUGUAAAGUUAUCAUUGCUAUCUGGUCAUUCCUACCUGCCUAAAUUUUUUCAUACAUAUUUAAUCACAUUGUAGGUUGUUACACAAUUCUGAUCAAGCCUUUCCUCACACCUCAUCAAUUCUUAUUGACUUGGUAAGAGCUGCACAUUUCAAACUGCAGGGAGAGUGACACUGGCAAGCACACAUGGUACUAAGCAGACACUUCUGUCUGCUUUAUAAUCAAUGCAAAAACAGCUGGAAUUUGUGCUUGAACAGAACAGAUUUACAGAAAAGUUUGAAAUAGGUGCAUAGAGUCAACAACCAUUUGUCUAAUCUGAAGAAGAGUGAUGUACCAUUUUCUAAUUUCAUGAGAAGUGCCCAGAAAAGCUACUCAGGAUUGGAUUGAGAGGAUCUCAGUUGUAGCAACUGUACUUACCCGUCUUUUCCACAGAUUCAUUAAACUCUGAGCAAGCUGAAGCAUCUGCCUUCCCUCCUAGUUUUAAAGAAAAGAUAAUGGAACAACCAUGUAAGUUAGUAACCGUAUUUCAGAGAAGUGACACUAGCUCUUCCAACCAGUAAUUCUCUUCACUAUCCACUGAGAACAUGGAAAUGAUAUUACAACUACCCUCCCUCCACCCAGUAAACAGUGUUUUAUCCAAGCAAUUAUUUCUUCUUGCUGCAAUUUGCUAGUCAUUAAUCAUCUUUUCAUGCAUCAAAAAUCUCUGUUUGAAACUUUAUUUCCA